rnacentral:rRNA from 1 species
GUGAGUAAUACGUGAGUGACCUGCCUUUGACUCUCGGAUAAGCCUGGGAAACUGGGUCUAAUACCGGAUGCGACUACUGCCCGCAUGGGCUGGUGGUGGAAAGGGUUAUGUACUGGUCUUAGAUGGGCUCACGGCCUAUCAGCUGGUUGGUGGGGUAAUGGCCUACCAAGGCGACGACGGGUAGCCGGCCUGAGAGGGUGACCGGCCACACUGGGACUGAGACACGGCUUAGACUCCUACGGGAGGCAGCAGUGGGGAAUAUUGCACAAUGGGCGCAAGCCUGAUGCAGCGACGCCGCGUGAGGGAUGACGGCCUUCGGGUUGUAAACCUCUUUCAGCAGGGAAAAAACGGAAGUGACGGUACCUGCAGAAGAAGCGCCGGCUAACUACGUGCCAUCAACCGCGGUAAUACGUAUGGCGCAUGCGUUGUCCGGAAUUAUUGGGCGUAAAGAGCUCGUAGGCGGCUUGUCGCGUCUGCUG